rnacentral:rRNA from 1 species
UACGAAGGGGGCUAGUGUUGCUCGGAAUCACUGGGCGUAAAGGGUGCGUAGGCGGGUCUUUAAGUCAGGGGUGAAAUCCUGGAGCUCAACUCCAGAACUGCCUUUGAUACUGAAGAUCUUGAGUUCGGGAGAGGUGAGUGGAACUGCGAGUGUAGAGGUGAAAUUCGUAGAUAUUCGCAAGAACACCAGUGGCGAAGGCGGCUCACUGGCCCGAUACUGACGCUGAGGCACGAAAGCGUGGGGAGCAAACAGGG